GAAACUAGCAUAUCAAUAAGCGGAGGAAAAGAAACCAACAGGGAUUGCCCUAGUAACGGCGAGUGAAGCGGCAACAGCUCAAAUUUGAAAUCUGGCGUCUUUGGCGUCCGAGUUGUAAUUUGCAGAGGGCGCUUUGGCAUCGGCAGCGGUCCAAGUUCCUUGGAACAGGACGUCACAGAGGGUGAGAAUCCCGUACGUGAUCGCUAGCCUUUACCGUGUAAAGCCCCUUCGACGAGUCGAGUUGUUUGGGAAUGCAGCUCUAAAUGGGAGGUAAAUUUCUUCUAAAGCUAAAUACUGGCCAGAGACCGAUAGCGCACAAGUAGAGUGAUCGAAAGAUGAAAAGCACUUUGGAAAGAGAGUUAAAAAGCACGUGAAAUUGUUGAAAGGGAAGCGCUUGCAGCCAGACUUGCCUGUAGUUGCUCAUCCGGGUUUCUACCCGGUGCACUCUUCUAUAGGCAGGCCAGCAUCAGUUUGGGCGGUUGGAUAAAGGUCUCUGUCAUGUACCUCUCUUCGGGGAGAACUUAUAGGGGAGACGACAUGCAACCAGCCCGGACUGAGGUCCGCGCAUCUGCUAGGAUGCUGGCGUAAUGGCUGUAAGCGGCCCGUCUUGAAACACGGACCAAGGAGUCUAACAUCUAUGCGAGUGUUUGGGUGUCAAGCCCGAACGCGUAAUGAAAGUGAACGGAGGUGGGAACCUUUCGGGGUGCACCAUCGACCGAUCCUGAUGUCUUCGGAUGGAUUUGAGUAAGAGCAUAGCUGUUGGGACCCGAAAGAUGGUGAACUAUGCUUGAAUAGGGUGAAGCCAGAGGAAACUCUGGUGGAGGCUCGCAGCGGUUCUGACGUGCAAAUCGAUCGUCAAAUUUGGGCAUAGGGGCGAAAGACUAAUCGAACUAUCUAGUAGCUGGUUCCUGCCGAAGUUUCCCCUCAGGAAA
rnacentral:rRNA from 1 species